GGGAAUGUGGCUUAGUGGUAGAGCACUUGCCUAGCAUGCAUGAAGCCCUGGAUUCCAAGCCCUGGGUUCAAUUCCUCAGUACCA
rnacentral:tRNA from 1 species